UUCCUCCACUGGUAGCAACAGUAUGCCAUUUCUGGAAGCCUGGCACAUCAUGCAUGCAUUUGGAAUUGCAGCUUUGGUUUUCUUUCCUUAAAGACAUGGCUGAUACGGAAAGAUACUUUUCCUUAAUGACAUUAUUCUUUGAUGGAAACUGCCUAUGCAUGCUCAGUUUUGUCCAUAAUAGCAAUCUGACUAACACUCACUCUUAGAAAUUUGAGUUUUUCCUACAUUUAUGCAGCCUUUAUUUUCUUUAGUUGAUCAAAAAGUCAUAGCACUUUUUGUUAUUAAGCUGAGUCUGCCCACUUGUCCUUGAAAUUCCUAGCUUGGGAGUGGUUUGGAUCAGUUUUAGUGGUUUGGAUAGGUCUUUGGCAACCAUCCUGGUUCUGGCCCAUCACCCCUCACCUCUGUGUAUAAAGACCAGGCCACAUAAGACUCUUGUUAUUCCAGUGGUGGCAAACUGGCCACCACUUACUGCAUAUAGGGCAGUGGACAAAAGGUACUCCUGUCAUACAGUGCAACCAGGAAUCUGGCUUGUUGACUUCUUCUGUGCUAAUUUCCUUCAUCACGCUGAGCGCUUUCUUGAAGGGUCAGAACCUACUUAGUCUCGUCACCACUGGUCACGAAGGAAGGCACACGUUUGCUCUUUUGAGAGCAGUGCAGAUUUAGAUUGAGUGCCUGAAGUUGUUCUGUCACAGAUGUUGUUAGGUAGCAGGCCAGCAGAUUCCUGGGUUGGUGGUCAAGGCAUGCCUUGAAACAAAUUUUGAUGAUGUCCUGUAGGACGUUUUAUCUGCCUUCAUGGUCAACCUGGAGCUUCUUAAAGAGAAGUCAGGCAAUUGCCUAUGGUGACCAGGUGCCACUUCAGAAGCCACGAAAGCAACGGGUACUACGUUGCCAAAAGUCAGGAAGAGUGUGGUUAUUCCACUCAUGUCCCCAGUUUUCACGAGGGUGUUUGUCCUUCAGGAGGAGGUCAUCAUAUUAUGGGAUGCAGGAGUUUUUUGGUUCUAGAGUAAGUUUCACUGACUUUUCCCCACCUUGCUUGGUGACACGAGUGUCCUCUUGCACCCUGCCAGAUGCCAAGUGCUUUGUUCCAUUGGAACUAACGGAGCGUGCUCUUAUGACAGCUGCAUCCAAGAGAUCUUGAGUGAAGAGGAGUUGUGCUGGGCUGCAUAUGAAAUAUAUAGUAUAGUCAAUGUAUGUUUUGCAGGGAACAGAAAACACCCGUAAUUCAGAGGCCUUAGGGAACACUGGCAACGUGGCUAAUAUCUGCUAGCAAGGUGUAGGAAAGACCAACAGAGCAACCAACAGCAGCUCCCUGUGAGAGAAGAUAGUGCAGAGUAAAAUCGCACGUGAAUGUGAAAUGAAUGGAAAAAAGUUGCAGCAUAUUUGUGGAUAACGACAGCGUCAAAAUGUAGGGCUUUCUCAGCUAUAAUCUGCAGGAGUUCAUCCAUUACCUGCUUUAGCUUUGGAUCUGGAUGCUACUUUUAUAGUAAUGAGUGAGUUGAAGUAUAGAAGAAGAAAAACAAACUCAACUGCAGCUAUUUAAACACUUAGCAGCUCCUUCCAGGCAAAGAACAACAAGCUAUUGUGUGCUUGUGCUCGUGAAGCUGGGAGGAGGCAACGUUUCCCACAGGCAAAUUAGGAAUGGGAAAAGCAGAACAAAACCCACAAGCUUCAGAAUCCCAGGCAGGAAAUGCAAGUCAUUUUCUGUUCAAGAUGAUUUGUGUUGUCAUUAGGUGGUUUUAAUUGGGCUUUAUUCUUACUCUGGGAGGAAAGCCUAGUUUUGCUUGAGCAAACACU
rnacentral:lncRNA from 7 species